GCAUUUUCUUUGGGGAUGAACAGGGGAGAGACUCCGGCGUAGUUUAUUUUCCUUCCGAGCAGGGAGGAGAGAACGCGCAAAAUGCUCCUAAUGGAGCAAAGCGAGCAAGAGGAGCCCAAAGGCGCGGGUGUGCGGCCUCAUGGGGACACUGCUGGGGGUUGGGAUUCUCCUUGCUAUGAGGGGCCCAAAGCCUUUGAGGUGGGAAGGAUUUGGGGUGGGAGAAGGGCCGGAGGAAUG
rnacentral:lncRNA from 1 species